GUGGGGAAUAUUGGACAAUGGGCGAAAGCCUGAUCCAGCCAUGCCGCGUGUGUGAAGAAGGUCUUCGGAUUGUAAAGCACUUUAAGUUGGGAGGAAGGGCAUUAACCUAAUACGUUAGUGUUUUGACGUUACCGACAGAAUAAGCACCGGCUAACUUCGUGCCAGCAGCCGCGGUAAUACGAAGGGUGCAAGCGUUAAUCGGAAUUACUGGGCGUAAAGCGCGCGUAGGUGGUUCAGUAAGUUGGAUGUGAAAUCCCCGGGCUCAACCUGGGAACUGCAUCCAAAACUGCUGAGCUAGAGUACGGUAGAGGGUGGUGGAAUUUCCUGUGUAGCGGUGAAAUGCGUAGAUAUAGGAAGGAACACCAGUGGCGAAGGCGACCACCUGGACUGAUACUGACACUGAGGUGCGAAAGCGUGGGGAGCAAACAGGAUUAGAAACCCUAGUAGUCC
rnacentral:rRNA from 1 species